rnacentral:lncRNA from 1 species
UGAACAAUCCAGCAGAUUCCAAGCCAUUUUUCUUAUGAUUUUACCCCCACUCCCUGUUUUCUGCGUCUAUUUGCAGUGAACACAUAUCUUUUGCAUGACUUUGAUAGGUCUAAUGCAACUGGAGAGGUAGCCAAUCAAGAUGUCCACCUUCACUGGAGAGGUAGCCAAUCAAGAUGUCCACCUUCCUUGGAUUCGGCCAAAAGUUCCUGGCCGAUUCUAUUUUUGUUUCGGAAAACCAAUAGAAACAGCAGGUAAUGCCAUUGCUGCAACCUACAAUUUCCACAGAAGUAUUAUACAGUGAUUCUGGGAAUUAGCUUCUCACAUUAGAACCCAUCAUCUCCUAAGAAGUCAUAUACGUGACUGGAUAUGAAGCCUCCAUUAAAUCAAUCCAUGCCUUUGAAUUAUCCUGUCUUGCUUCAAUUUAUUAUUUUUCCAUCGCACAACUUACAUGCACAAGCUUGAUUUCUAGUGGUCUUUCCUUUAUUUGUAUAAGAUGGAUAGUGGUCAAUUCACUGAACCUUGUACGACAGAUGCAGAAUUUGUACACUCG